UACCUGCAGCUCGAGUGGUAACCGCUAUUAUUGGGCCUAAAGCGUCCGUAGCCGGUUUGGUAAAUAUCUGGGUAAAUCGUGAGGCUUAACUUCACGAAUUUCGGAUAGACUGCCAGACUUGGGGUCGGGGGAGGUCAGAGGUACUCCAGGAGUAGCGGUGAAAUGUUGUAAUCCUUGGAGGACCACCGGUAGCGAAGGCGUCUGACUAGAACGAGUCCGACAGUGAGGGACGAAGCCCUGGGGCGCAAACCGGAUUAGAUACCCGGGUAGUCCAGGGUGUAAACGAUGUGGGCUUUGUAUUGGAGGUCCCACGUGGGCGUCCAGUGCAGAAGAGAAGUUGUUAAGCCCAACGCCUGGGAAGUACGGUCGCAAGGCUGAAACUUAAAGGAAUUGGCGGGGGAGCACAGCAACGGGAGGAAGCGUGCGGUUU
rnacentral:rRNA from 1 species